GACCCAGUGGUGAAUGGAUCAUACCUGCUCUCUUUGGUGGGUGAUUAUUGCAUACAAUGGCAGGAGUCCCCGGUUCGAUUCCGGGCUGGGAUA